UAGCAAUUAUACAGCGAAACUGCGAAUGGCUCAUUAUAUAAGUUAUCGUUUAUUUGAUAGUACCUUACUACUUGGAUAACCGUGGUAAUUCUAGAGCUAAUACAUGCUAAAAAUCCCGACUUCGGAAGGGAUGUAUUUAUUAGAUUAAAAACCAAUGCCCUUCGGGGCUCCUUGGUGAUUCAUGAUAACUUCUCGAAUCGCAUGGCCUUGCGCCGGCGAUGGUUCAUUCAAAUUUCUUCCCUAUCAACUUUCGAUGUUUGGGUAUUGGCCAAACAUGGUUGCAACGGGUAACGGAGGGUUAGGGCUCGACCCCGGAGAAGGAGCCUGAGAAACGGCUACUACAUCCAAGGAAGGCAGCAGGCGCGCAAAUUACCCAAUCCCGACACGGGGAGGUAGUGACAAUAAAUACUGAUACAGGGCUCUUUUGGGUCUUGUAAUUGGAAUGAGUACAAUUUAAAUCCCUUAACGAGGAACAAUUGGAGGGCAAGUCUGGUGCCAGCAGCCGCGGUAAUUCCAGCUCCAAUAGCGUAUAUUAAAGUUGUUGUGGUUAAAAAGCUCGUAGUUGAACCUUGGGCCUGGCUGGCCGGUCCGCCUCACCGCGUGUACUGGUCCGGCCGGGCCUUUCCCUCUGUGGAACCCCAUGCCCUUCACUGGGUGUGGCGGGGAAACAGGACUUUUACUUUGAAAAAAUUAGAGUGCUCCAGGCAGGCCUAUGCUCGAAUACAUUAGCAUGGAAUAAUAGAAUAGGACGUGUGGUUCUAUUUUGUUGGUUUCUAGGACCGCCGUAAUGAUUAAUAGGGACAGUCGGGGGCAUCAGUAUUCCGUUGUCAGAGGUGAAAUUCUUGGAUUUACGGAAGACUAACUACUGCGAAAGCAUUUGCCAAGGAUGUUUUCAUUAAUCAGGAACGAAAGUUAGGGGAUCGAAGACGAUCAGAUACCGUCGUAGUCUUAACCAUAAACUAUGCCGACUAGGGAUCGGACGAUGUUAUUUUUUGACUCGUUCGGCACCUUACGAGAAAUCAAAGUGCUGGC
rnacentral:rRNA from 1 species